AGAGUCGUAGCUCAGUGGCAGGGCAUCUGCCUUGCAAGUGAAAGAUCCUAGGUUCAAUCCCUGACAUUUCCA